AGAGGGUGUAAGUCCCAGAGG
rnacentral:misc_RNA from 1 species